ensembl:misc_RNA 7SK 7SK RNA
GGAUGUGAGGGUAAUCGGGCUACAGACAGCUUUCACUCAGUAGAUUUGCCAGGGUUUCUUAGGCUGAGCUGAAUGGCUGUAGAAUGUAAAUUUCCUUCCUCAGUGUUUCCUCCCGAUGCUGAAAUGUUACUAAAGAGGGGACCAUCCCUGUCAAGAACCAUUUUCCUGGCAAUGCUGUAGGAGUAACAUACUCCCUUGCUAGGACCUCUAAACAAGCUCUUCAAUCCACUGGCAACAUAACUUAAGGUCUUUAAGCUUCCAUGAUGUCAGACACAUCCAAAAGAUGUGCUGCAUUUUGUUGUCUACCUAUCUUA